UGCCCCUGUAUCAGAAUGAGAAGGAGGGUUCACUAAAGAACAAUAUCAACACAGAGUAGAGUGCUUGCAGUAUCUGACAGUCAAAUUACAUUCAGAUAUCACACAAGCAGCAUCUCUACUAGUGCAGAAGAAUACUGCAUCUACAUCUAAGGCAUGAAGAGCUCUCCUCCACAUCAUACAAUAUCUAAAAGAAACAAGCAACCUAGGCAUCUUAUACAAAGGCCCCAAGAACAAGAUCAAUGAAUUCCCCAACACAUCAUAUCUGUCAAUAGAUUAUACAGAUUCAGAUUGAGCAGAACUGUUGAAUGAUGAAUGCAAAUCUAUCUUAGACUUCAUAUUCAAGUUAGCAGAUGCAUCAAUUUCAUGAUGUUCAUUCAAACAACCUUGUGUUUCUUUAAGUUCAAAUGAG
rnacentral:sRNA from 2 species